rnacentral:lncRNA from 1 species
UAAAACGGAAGGGUUAGAGCGUGAGGUGGCCACUGAAAGGGAAAGUAAAGAGGCUCUGCAAGCUGAUUUGGACAAGCUUACAGAAGAGUAUGUAACCGAAACGGACAAGAUUGUUUGAGAGUUUCAAGAUCAAGUGGAUGACACAAUCAAGGAACAUCUUUUGGUCUUUGAAGAAUUUAAGGAAAAGACAACUUAGAAUGUCUUAAGUUCUAUUUCGAA